rnacentral:tRNA from 1 species
AAGGGUAUAGCUCAGUGGUAGAGCACAGGCUUAGUGUGCAUGAGGUUGUGGGUUCAAUCCCCAUUCCCUUA